rnacentral:rRNA from 1 species
GACGAACGCUGGCGGCGUGCCUAAUACAUGCAAGUAGAACGCUGAAGUGAGGAGCUUGCUCUUCUUGGAUGAGUUGCGAACGGGUGAGUAACGCGUAGGUAACCUGCCUUGUAGCGGGGGAUAACUAUUGGAAACGAUAGCUAAUACCGCAUAACAAUGGAUGACACAUGUCCUUUAUUUGAAAGGGGCAAUUGCUCCACUACAAGAUGGGCCUGCGUUGUAUUAGCUAGUAGGUGAGGUAAUGGCUCACCUAGGCGACGAUACAUAGCCGACCUGAGAGGGUGAUCGGCCACACUGGGACUGAGACACGGCCCAGACUGCUACGGGAGGCAGCAGUAGGGAAUCUUCGGCAAUGGGGGCAACCCUGACCGAGCAACGCCGCGUGAGUGAAGAAGGUUUUCGGAUCGUAAAGCUCUGUUGUAAGUCAAGAACGGGUGUGAGAGUGGAAAGUUCACACUGUGACGGUAGCUUACCAGAAAGGGACGGCUAACUACGUG